GACGUAGGGCGCGAGCGUUGUCCGGAUUUAUUGGGCGUAAAGAGCUCGUAGGCGGCUUGUCGCGUCGACUGUGAAAACCCGCGGCUUAACUGCGGGACUGCAGUCGAUACGGGCAGGCUAGAGUUCGGUAGGGGAGACUGGAAUUCCUGGUGUAGCGGUGAAAUGCGCAGAUAUCAGGAGGAACACCGGUGGCGAAGGCGGUUCUCUGGGCCUUACCUGACACUGAGGAGCGAAAGCGUGGGGAGCGAACAGG
rnacentral:rRNA from 1 species